UAUAACAUCGGAAAUCCACCAGAUGUCGCUGUUUAAUCUAUCGAAAUAGAAACACAUUUCCCGAGACAUUUCCGUCGUUGGCAAGUCGUUGGUAGAUGUAUUGAAAUGGCUCGCGGGGACACUCAGAAUUUUUGAAUGAACUGUGCUGGGAACAGUAACAAAUAAAGCUAAAAAAUAAUGUAAGCUUUUUUCAGUAAAUUAAAAGAAGUCUUGCCUUCAUGGUGUCUCGCACGGUUUCCCAUUUUUGUCUUAACUUCCGAAACAGUGCCCCUCCCACAGCGACACGUACACAGUGACGUCAUCGUUCUACCCUUUCGGCACUAAGUGCGAUGUCAAUGCAAGACGGUUUUUGGUGGGACCGAUGUGAGCUCCAGGCUCCAGCCGAGCACCAGCACCAGCACCAGCUUCCGGCCAGGGCUGGGCGUGAAAGAGGUAUUACGGAAUCAUCCUGUGUGGCAAAAUAAAGCUCAGAUUUCUGGACUAAACUAGACUUAAACAUAGCCCUGCAGUGAACUGUGAACCCAGAUCCCAGGGCUGGGGCAACCGCCUCCAUGUCUCCUGGAACACAACCGACGCCGGCUGCUGGAGCCUCAUGCCAUCUGGACCAAAGCCCACAAAGAGCAGGACAACCUGGAAAGGCUCUGAUGGGUCAGCCCCUGCAAAUCGGGAAAUGGACUGUGUGGCCAGAGGGCUCCCCCUGCAGGCUGGCACCAGACAAGAGGAAACGGACUAUUGGCUGCUGAUGCGCACGGACCUGCGUGACCCACAGGAUUCCCGGGAUCUUAUAGAGACUCCGUCUGCCAAACCUGCCAUCACUUCCUCACCUGCGUGUGGGGCUCAUGUCUCUCUCUCUCUCUCUCUCUCUCUCUCUCUCUCUCUCUCUCUCUAUUACUCUCUCUCUCCCUCUGUCUCUCUCACUGUUGUUCUUUUCCUUCAGUGAUUUUUCUCUUAGAUGUGGUCUGUCCUGGACUUUCCACCAAAACUGCCAGGGAUCUGGAAUGAUGAACUUCUAGUACCAGAUUGGUAUUUUUCUGCUAUACCUUUGAGAAAGGUACCCGUUUCAG